GGACGGUCUGAGUGCAGUGAUGUUUACAAUGAAUGGAUCACAACCAGUUACAGAGUUCUUUAUCCCUUCUCCAUGCCACUGCUUCCUUGGCUAGCCUUAA
rnacentral:Y_RNA from 1 species